GACGUAGGGCGCGAGCGUUGUCCGGAUUUAUUGGCGUAAAGAGCUCGUAGGCGGCUUGUCGCGUCGUCCGUGAAACCUGCAAGCUCAACUGCAGGCUUGCGGUCGAUACGGGCAGGCUAGAGUUCGGUAGGGGAGACUGGAAUUCCUGGUGUAGCGGUGAAAUGCGCAGAUAGUCAGGAGGAACACCGGUGCGAAGGCAGCUCGCUGGGACGGUACUGACGCUGAGACGCGAAAGCGUGGGGAGCAAACAGG
rnacentral:rRNA from 1 species